CGCAGCCGCGGUAAUUCCAGCUCCAAUAGCGUAUAUUAAAGUUGUUGCAGUUAAAAGCUCGUAGUUGAAUUUCGGGAUCAAUAUGUUGGUCGUGCCUUGGUACGUACUGGCGUCAUUGGUUUCUACCUUCUGAAGAACCCCGAUGUCAUUAAUUUGGUGUCUUGGGGAAUCAGGACUGUUACUUUGAAAAAUUAGAGUGUUUAAAGCAAGCUCACGCUUGAAUACAUUAGCAUGGAAUAAUGAAAUAGGACGUUUGAUUCUAUUUUGUUGGUUUCUAGGAUCGACGUAAUGGUUAAUAGGGAUAGUUGGGGGCAUUAGUAUUCAAUUGUCAGAGGUGAAAUUCUUGGAUUUAUUGAAGACUAACUACUGCGAAAGCAUUUGCCAAGGAUGUUUUCAUUAAUCAAGAACGAAAGUUAGGGAUCGAAGACGAUCAGAUACCGUCGUAGUCUUAACCAUAAACUAUGCCGACUAGGAAUCGGAUGAUGUUAAUUUUUAAUGACUCAUUCGGCGCCUUAGGGAA
rnacentral:misc_RNA from 1 species